rnacentral:rRNA from 1 species
AGAGUUUGAUUCUGGCUCAGAUUGAACGCUGGCGGCGUGCUUAACACAUGCAAGUCGAACGUGAAAGUCCUUCGGGGCGAGUAAAGUGGCGCACGGGUGAGUAACGCGUGGAUAAUCUACCCUUAAGAUGGGGAUAACGGCUGGAAACGGUCGCUAAUACCGAAUACGCUCCCGAUUUUAUCGUUGGGGGGAAAGAUGGCCUCUGCUUGCAAGCUAUCGCUUAAGGAUGAGUCCGCGUCCCAUUAGCUAGUUGGCGGGGUAACGGCCCACCAAGGCAACGAUGGGUAGCCGGUCUGAGAGGAUGACCGGCCACACUGGAACUGGAACACGGUCCAGACUCCUACGGGAGGCAGCAGUGGGGAAUAUUGCGCAAUGGGCGAAAGCCUGACGCAGCGACGCCGCGUGAGGGAUGAAGGUUCUCGGAUCGUAAACCUCUGUCAGGGGGGAAGAAACCCCCUCGUGUGAAUAAUGCGAGGGCUUGACGGUACCCCCAAAGGAAGCACCGGCUAACUCCGUGCCAGCAGCCGCGGUAAUACGGAGGAUGCAAGCGUUAAUCGGAAUCACUGGGCGUAAAGCGCACGUAGGCGGCUUGGUAAGUCAGGGGUGAAAUCCCACAGCCCAACUGUGGAACUGCCUUUGAUACUGCCAGGCUUGAGUACCGGAGAGGGUGGCGGAAUUCCAGGUGUAGGAGUGAAAUCCGUAGAUAUCUGGAGGAACACCGGUGGCGAAGGCGGCCACCUGGACGGUAACUGACGCUGAGGUGCGAAAGCGUGGGUAGCAAACAGGAUUAGAUACCCUGGUAGUCCACGCUGUAAACGAUGGGUGCUGGGUGCUGGGAUGUAUGUCUCGGUGCCGUAGCUAACGCGAUAAGCACCCCGCCUGGGGAGUACGGUCGCAAGGCUGAAACUCAAAGAAAUUGACGGGGGCCCGCAC